rnacentral:rRNA from 1 species
UACGGAGGGUGCAAGCGUUAUCCGGAUUCACUGGGUUUAAAGGGUGUGUAGGCGGGUAUUUAAGUCAGUGGUGAAAUCUCCAGGCUCAACCUGGAAACUGCCAUUGAUACUAUUUAUCUUGAAUCUUGUUGAGGUGGGCGGAAUAUAUCAUGUAGCGGUGAAAUGCUUAGAUAUGAUAUAAAACACCGAUUGCGAAGGCAGCUCACUAAACAAGCAUUGACGCUGAGGCACGAAAGCGUGGGGAUCAAACAGG